AUUGAACGCUGGCGGCAUGCCUUACACAUGCAAGUCGAACGGCAGCACGGGAGCAAUCCUGGUGGCGAGUGGCGAACGGGUGAGUAAUGUAUCGGAACGUGCCCAGUCGUGGGGGAUAACGUAGCGAAAGCUACGCUAAUACCGCAUACGAUCUAUGGAUGAAAGCGGGGGAUCGCAAGACCUCGCGCGAUUGGAGCGGCCGAUAUCAGAUUAGGUAGUUGGUGGGGUAAAGGCUCACCAAGCCGACGAUCUGUAGCUGGUCUGAGAGGACGACCAGCCACACUGGGACUGGGACACGGCCCAGACUCCUACGGGAGGCAGCAGUGGGGAAUUUUGGACAAUGGGCGAAUGCCUGAUCCAGCAAUGCCGCGUGCAGGAUGAAGGCCUUCGGGUUGUAAACUGCUUUUGUACGGAACGAAACGGCGAACUCUAAUACAGUUUACUAAUGACGGUACCGUAAGAAUAAGCACCGGCUAACUACGUGCCAGCCGCCGCCGUAA
rnacentral:rRNA from 1 species